CGAGGAACCCCAGCAGAAUGGAGUACAGAAGUGUGGUCACAAAAUAAUGGCCACUGUAUCUAGAAGAAGAUGUUCGUAUAGAUAAGCUAAUGUUGGACAGGGCAUGUAUCAAGGAGAAGAUGAGAUAUUGUAUAAACGGGCACUUCUCUGCCAAGGAACCGUCGUUCCCCAUAGCAUUCAAUGCCAUCAAGAACAGUGCACCAAACCCUGGUCCUCUCAACUUCGUCAUACCUGGACCCCCCAAACUGCAAGAGAAAUCGCAAUGAACGAUGGUAGAGAUGAUAUAACUUACGGAUAGCCAUGGAUUUUGGUCCAUCGCACAUUUUUUGAUACUGUGUAUAUGUUUAUCGCAGGAGACUACCAGUGUAAUGGACUUGUUACAGGCAACAGCAAUAAAAGAGUACACGCGUAAA